rnacentral:rRNA from 1 species
CCUACGGGUGGCAGCAGUGGGGAAUAUUGGGCAAUGGGCGCAAGCCUGACCCAGCAAUGCCGCGUGAAGGAAGAAGGCUCUCGGGUUGUAAACUUCUUUGACAGGGGAAGAGCAGAAGACGGUACCCUGAAAACAAGCUACGGCUAACUACGUGCCAGCAGCCGCGGUAAUACGGAGGUGGCCAGCGUUAUCCGGAUUUACUGGGUGUAAAGGGCGUGUAGCCGGGAAGGCAAGUCAGAUGUGAAACCUGGAGGCUCAACCUCCAAAUUGCAUUUGAAACUGUUUGUCUUGAGUACUGGAGAGGCAGACGGAAUUCCUGGUGUAGCGGUGAAAUGCGUAGAUAUAAGGAGGAACACCAGUGGCGAAGGCGAUCUGCUGGACAGCAACUGACGGUGAGGCGCGAAAGCGUGGGGAGCAAACAGGAUUAGAUACCCUUGUAGUC